AUGUUUAUUAUUAUAGGUAUGUUGACUGAAAAGGAGUUUUUCACUAGAGGAGCUGGGUAUAUCGGAAGCCCCUGUGUAGUUGAGCUUAUGGAACUGGCUAUCUGGUUAUUUCUUGCGAGAAGUUUGGGAAGAUUGGCUGCUUCUGGAAGUGAUAGCAUUCAGUUAAGCCGAGUAAUAAAAGAAAUAACCUUAACAUUGCCAAGGAAUAAGUCAUUGGAAAGAAUAAUUCACUAUACAGUAGCGAAGAAGUUAAAGGCGAAGAAGUUAAAUCUCAAGAACAGAGCUAAGAAACGCCCAAUUGAUAAUUCUCCUAGCAAAGAUUCAUCAAGUAGUUCAUUCAGGGCUGAUAAAGAGAAGUCAAAGUUGCAGAAGGAGCUGUUGUCUCUGCAGUCGAGCUUAUGUCUCAAGUUGAGUCAGCCUACAAAGAAAGGGCCAGUUAAAACGUACACCAAGCAAGUAGAAAAGUUAGAGUUGCACGUUCAUGAGUACACACUCUAAGUGGAAGAGCUCAACAGCAUAUUAUCGACAUCAGCAGCCACAAAACUCGAAAACAUUGAACCAAGGAAGUUCGAUAGCUGAAAUUCAGGUACGAAAAUAUCAGCUAUUUGAAGACCAACUCAGCUCAAGCCAAAUCAAUUCGAACAUCUGCGUCGUCGCUUUGAAGACAAAGAACGCAUCCAAGUACGAACAUGCCUGCACUUUUCUUACCGAAGAGAUCGAAGAAAUCAGGCGCAAAUUUCACAUCCAGGUUACAUAACUGAAAAACAGAUCAGCGCUUUGAUUUCCAAAUGCUCAGGUUUGGAGAAGAGGACGUCACGUCUACAGAGUGAGGUAGACGUUCUCAUUAUCGAUUUGGAGAAGGCUAAUAGCACCACCGCAAGCAACUUGAGCUCAUCAACAUUGAAUUCAAAUUCAAGUUGGAUGAGAUUGAGCUGACUGUCCUUUACUACGCUUCCAAGAGAGAUAAUCGUAACAAGGGGACAGAUUUCCCAUUUGACUCACGAACUGGACAAAACUUGCGAACUGAAAGAUCAGCUUACCCGUGAAAACAAGAAAUUGGGCGAUGAGAACGCUGAGCUUAAGAGCCAGUAUUCUGAACUCAACUGCAGAUUCCAUGAGUUAGAUAUUGAAUAUCGCCGUCUAGAAAAUGAACGUGAAAAGUUGGCAUACAAAGAAAUUCAGAGGCUCGUAAAGGUGAAGAAUAUCGCGUUCAA
rnacentral:misc_RNA from 1 species